AUCACUUCUCAGCCUUUUGACUAAGAUGAAGUGAGCAUCUGUUCUUAUAAGUUUAGUGUCUGAUAUGUCCUCUAUCCGAGGACAAUACAUUAAAUGGAUUUUUGGAGCAGGGAGUUGGCAUAGGAGAUUUCUCCUUCCAUUCCACACAUUGACCUGAUGUUGCAGUACUUUCAGGAAUGGUGCACAAAAC